GCCUGGGUGGUUCAGUCGGUUGAGCGUCUGACUUCAGCUCAGGUCAUGAUCUCACAGUUUGUGAGUUCGAGACCCGCAUCAGGCU
rnacentral:tRNA from 1 species